rnacentral:rRNA from 1 species
GUAGGGAAUCUUGCGCAAUGGGCGAAAGCCUGACGCAGCCAUGCCGCGUGAAUGAUGAAGGUCUUAGGAUUGUAAAAUUCUUUCACCGGGGACGAUAAUGACGGUACCCGGAGAAGAAGCCCCGGCUAACUUCGUGCCAGCAGCCGCGGUAAUACGAAGGGGGCUAGCGUUGCUCGGAAUUACUGGGCGUAAAGGGAGCGUCGGCGGAGUGUUUAGUCAGAGGUGAAAGCCCAGGGCUCAACCUUGGAAUUGCCUUUGAUACUGGCUAUCUUGAGUAUGGAAGAGGUAUGUGGAACUCCGAGUGUAGAGUUGAAAUUCGUAGAUAUUCGGAAGAACACCAGUGGCGAAGGCGACAUACUGGUCCAUUACUGACGCUGAGGCUCGAAAGCGUGGGGAGCAAACAGGAUUAGAAACCCGGGUAGUCC